rnacentral:rRNA from 1 species
GUCCUUGCCUUAAACGAUGUAUACUUGACGUGGUUGGGCUCAACCCCGGCCGUGUCGUAGCUAACGCGAUAAGUAUACCGCCUGGGGAGUACACUCGCAAGGGUGAAACUCAAAAGAAUUGACGGGGACCCGCACAAGCAGUGGAGUAUGUGGUUUAAUUCGAUGCAACGCGAAGAACCUUACCUGGAUUUGACAUGCAAGAGACCGCGGCAGAAAUGUCGCUUUCCCGCAAGGGACUGUUGCACAGGUGCUGCAUGGCUGUCGU